UUUACAAUUAAUUAAACUAAAUUAUUAAAAAUUGUUAUAAUAAUAAUACUAAGUAAUCUAAGUAGUAAUUAUCCUGCUAAACAAAGAAUGAAAACACUCUUAAUGUGUCUCUCUCUUUAAACGCAUCUCUCUCUGUUUGUUUAUGGGGUGCAGGGCUCGUCACCAUGGCAACCACAAGCAAUGGCGAGGCUAAUAAAGGAAGCGUCUCUCUCUCUCUCUCUCUCUCUCUCUCUCUCUCUCUGUCUGUCUGUCUCUCGCUCGCUCUCAGCCUUGACUUCUUCUCUGUUCCUUUCACAUCAAACCAGCAGCAGCUCAUGAAGGAUUUUGGGAUGCAUGUUGUCUUUAAUCUUGAAACGAGGGAAUUCUGGGACCUCGGAGGGAAUCUGGCCGUGACACACGGAUGGUUUGCGGAUGUUUCGUGGAUCUGAGCUCGCUGUGGAUUAUCAGUUCUAGUGUGUGUGUGUGUGUGUGUGUGUGUGUGUGUGUGUGUGUGUGUGUGUGUGUGUGAAUGAUGACACACGUCACAGACGAGGAGACACGCAUCUGUCCGUCAUGUGCUCGUGGUUUUGACGUUCCUCUCAUUCUGCCCUGCUCUCACACUCUCUGCGGCCGCUGUCUGACCGGAGGGGCGGGGCCUGAUCUGUGCAGGGGCGGGGUCAGGGGCGGGGUCUCCUCCUCUCAUCCGGUCGUUCUCUGUCCGAACUGUCGUCAUGGCGUUGAGCUGCCCUGCUUUGACUGGUCAUCUGCUCUGACCUGUCUGCCCUUUGACCCUACAGUGACCUUUGACCCUGUAAAGAGAGGGACGCAUGAGGAACAGAGAUGGGAGACGGAUGGCAGUGUGGAUCUUUCUGAAGAGGAAAUGGAACAAUCCGUUUCAGGUCUUAUCUUCACCCUCGAUUCGUCCUGCUCUGAUUCGUCGCUUCACCUCUCAAGCUCCGCCCUCUCCGUCACCUUCACAGGUCACAUGAUCUCAUCACAUGACCGCAGGGAUCAGGACUGUCCACUUCCUCAGGUGUGUGGCAGCGUGAGCGUCUCCAGAGGACAGUAUUACUGGGAGGUGGACGUCUGCAACAGCGCCAUCUACAGGAUCGGAGUGAUAUCAUCAUGUGAUGGGCGUGGCUGGUGGUUGGAGAGGCGUGGCUCUGCGUUUCACACUGUGUUUGAAGGACAGCAUGAGCUCCUCCCCUCUGUUCCUCCUCAGCUGAAGACAGUGGGCGUGUUUCUAAAUGUGGGCGGAGCUUCCAUAACCUUCCACAAUCCGGUAACUCAAGAGUUUCUCGCUGCAAUCCCCGCCCACUUUAGUGCCCCUCUCCAUCCUGCUCUUCAAUUGGGCCAGGGAAGACUCAAACUCCGCCCCGGCCUGCCGCCACCCAAUCACGUCUUCCUCAGCCACAGCUCUGCCUAUCGGGGUCCAGGAGGGGCGGGAAGCGGGCGCUGGAGGCGGGAUGUCACGUUUGGGUCGGUGAGUGCCGUGAUUCAGAAGUUUGAGGAGAUUUCAGCCGCGAUUUCGGACGGGGAUUCGGGUCUCGUCUCCAGCAUCAGCUUACUGUCUGACACCAAUAACAGUACAGAAUGGCUCCGUUCCAAAACCUAGUGUGCUUUCUACACAGGCAGCUCCCUAGUUAGACAGUAACAUCAUGCUGCCCUCUGAGAUCUACGGAGCCCCUAAAGGGACAUGAUAGUGGAAAAAAAUCAGAGUGGGAGGAAAAAAUAUUUUUCAAAUGUUUUGCAUUCUCUCGCAAAGAUAUUCAUUCUCUUGCAAAACUUUUGAGUUCUCUGCAAAGAUAUUCAUUCUUAUGCCAAACUUUUGAGUUCUCUGCCAAAAUCUUCAUUCUCUCACAAAACUUUUGAGUCCUCGCACAAAAAUAUUCAUUCUCUCACAAAACUUUUGAGUUCUCUGCAAAAAUAUUCAUUCUCUCACAAAACUUUUGAGUCCUCGCACAAAAAUAUUCAUUCUCUCGCAAAACUUUUGAGUUCUCUGCAAAGAUAUUCAUUCUCUCACAAAACUUUUGAGUUCUCUCGUAAAACUUUUGAGCUCUCUUAAAAAGAUAUUAAUUUUCUCGCAAAACCAGUUGAGUUCGGACAAAAACUUCCUGUUUAUUAAUGCGGCUUAAUGAAGAUGAUAAAAAGGAACAAAUAUGCUAUAUUAUGUAUUAAAAAUAUGUACUGUGUACAUGAAAGCAAAUGAGCCCAAAAUAUGAGCUGAAUUGCAUGAUAAGCAUUUUCUCAUGCCCCCCCCCCCCCCAAAAAAGUGUGCCUAACUUAAUAUAUAUACUAAAAAAAAAACAGUUAUAAAAAUUCCAAAUAAUUACAUUUAUUAAAAUAUACUCUGCACAAAAAAAGCAAUGUGCUAAGAUUUUUCUUUAAUAAUGUUUUAUCUACAGGGGAGAAAACAUGUGUAACUGUACAUUCCAUUCUUGGCUCAUCUGCUUGUCUGUGCGUAAUAUAAACUGUAAACUGUAUUUUAAAAUCACCAUCUUCGUUCAUUAGCCAACCUUAAGUGUUUUCUAUGAGGGAGAAAGUGCUUAAUGUGCAGAAGUUGUGUUCAUAUUCUGGGCUAUUCUGCUUAAUUAAUAGUAAUAUUAUUAAUACAGUUAUUAAUAUUAGGCUAAUAAUGUUAUCAGUAUUUAUUAUUAUCAAAUUUGGUCCUCCAAUGUCACUCUUUUAAAACUUUAAGCCAUAUUAAGCGCUUUAGAAUGUCCCAAAACUGUGCCUUGAGAUCUGUUUUUUUUUUUUUUUUUUUUUUUUUUACAAAAUAUAAAGCAUCAUCACAUGAAUGCUUCUUGAAAAACUUUGCAAAAAGCAAACAGCGCCACCUGUAGGGCAGAAAAUUUAGCUCAUUAGCUCAAGCUCAUUUAUUGUCUUCUUGUGAUUAAUUUAUUUUGUAUUUUAUGUAUUUAUAUUCAGUGGGACUAUAUUUUCUGUAUUAUAUUCAGUUGUUGCAAGAAAUUGUGUUUCCAAAAAGACGCUUGUCAUCCUUUUGAAUAAUGACUAAGAAUUGAACACACACCUGAUUGAAAUACUGUACAAUAACCAAAGAUGCCACUCAACUCAUUUACAGGAAAUACAUAAAAUAAUUUGGACAUAUUAAUCACUGUCAUACUGCCCAUUAAAAAAUUAUUUAUUUAUUUAUUUAUUUUCAAAAAAGUUUUAGAAAUAUUCCUGAAAUGCUGUAAAUAACAUGUAAAUAAUAAAACCUAUUUAUUAUUACAUGUCUCUCUGGGAUACUUUAUUGUUGUUGGUCAAUGGUGGCAUUCAGAGGUCAAAUAUUUGUGAAUAAUGACACUACAGUAUAUUAUAGCUAUAGCUGAUUAAAGUUUCAUAAAAUAUCUCAACAAUGUCUCAAACUAUGCUCAGAUUUGCUGAGAAAUCUCAAUAAAAACAUUUCUCAUCAAAUGAUCUAAGCUUUGAUAAGCUGUCAUAUUUGAUACACUAUUUUGUUAAUAAUUUAAAUUAGAUUUUAUUUUUUCUAUUUUUUGUUUCUUUUUUUAUUAAUAGUUAAUAUCGUAGAAAUUGUCUUGUG
ensembl:lncRNA